GAGAACCGUCCCUCACUGACUACUGACUACUUCAGAAGUCUCUGAAGAGUCCUACCCCUAAUAACCGUCAUCCGUGUGCCAUACAGAAAGAAGGGACAUAUGAACACCGUUUAGGAAGGUUCAGUUAUUUUGACGUCCCAAACUGACUUCUUUUCAGGUAUGAGUGCACCUCGGCACCUCCGUAAGAGACAAAAUUUUCCGACGUGGGCAAGUAGAUGACGUCUACACCGAAGACUAAACGGACCUAGUUGACCCACGAGUUCUGGAGUUCACAAGAAUGUGUUCAAAACUAGUCCACUGCAGCCUUAACCGUUCGACGUCCAAAACCGGAUCGUCUCGUCGACAAACAAAGUGAGGUACGAACGCUACCGACUACUAUGGUUCAAGGAGGAAAGUCAAAAUGAGAACUCGACGAGUAGCAACACAAAACCAAGACUUCGACUAUAGGUCACGGACUUCAGACAUGUUGUUAGUCACUAACUAGGGUUGCCGCAUGAGUUUAGGAGCACCAUGAAACUUUUAGGGAUAGGGUUAAUACGAAUAUAUACGGCGAAAUGACCACACCUUACGACCAUGGGACCGCUCUUGUCCCAAGAGUCAAAUGCAGAACCGUUGGAUCCUGAACUUCCGGGUAAAGGAGUUCCAGAUGUCUUAACAAGUUCGCACUGGCCGGACCUGGACAGUUUGUUGUUAAAAAGUCCUGGUUAGGGAGUCCUGUAAAGUGCCGUCCACGGCAUGGACUGUAGAGACCUGGAAAGCAUGUUAUCAAAAAAUCCAAGCUAGGGUGUCUUAUAGAGUUUGUACUGUAUAGACUUACAGGACAAGGAGGUCGUAUUGGUUGAGUCGCCAGUUUAAGGUGGCGUUAAGCUAAACGAACGAGCCAAUUGGCGUAAGUUACAACGCCUCUUGAACAAUAGUCCCGGAUAAGGAAGAAACGAUCGUCAUUCCAAAAGCCGAAGCUCGAAACGACCAUUGGUUCCCGAAACACCACGUGGCAACCUACUAACAGGGGGGAGCUCCUCCUCUACCUCUGGCCAUGCUUAGUCAGACGUGUCCGAGUUGCUGGUUAGCUCGUAGCCUCGCCGGCAACCUAAGCAGCACCCCAAGCACCACCGGAAGAUGAAGGGCGUGACGAAGCAGACGAGGCUCUCCGAGGCUCGGAUGCAGCAGGCUUAUACUAAGUGAACAACAAGACUUGAUACAGACUUUUUAUCGAAGCCCUCCGGUUUACUCGUGAAGGCCGUCAUUUAGAAAAAAUCAAACAAGGGGCGUCAUUGCUAAUAGAAUUUAAGUGUACUAUACAUACGGACCGUUGCUCGUUAACGACCGUAAAUGGGACGCUGUAUAAAGUUCAAGUUGAGAAGAUCUUUCUACGUUCCUUAGUGAACCGGCACUAAUAAAUACAAUCUAUUAUUGCUCUUUAUUUUACUCUGUCUCUCUGUGCCUAAAAAUGCACUUUUGGGAACGCCCUCUUUUGGUGCCUGCGUGCUUCCACGUUAGUGAUAUUACCUUCUCAUAAUGUUCGUACUCUGCUGUCCGGCAGACUCCACGCUGAUGUACCCCAUAUAUUCUCCCGUUAUGUACUCUCAGGAACCUCCUGUUCAUUUGCAUGAGCAUGCGCAGCUGCAGUUGCGUUUCCGGGUGUGGCCAACAUGAUGUAGAUCAGGUUGUACCAUAUCAAACCUAGUGUUAAAUUGUUAGAGGUGGAACUAGGUUUAAGGGAGUUCAUCAGUUUCUUUCAUCUAUUGAGGUAGGUUUAGUCGUAUUUGUGGAACACGCGGUUUCAGGUAUUCUGAUCGCUCUUUAUGGUUGAUUCGGACUCGUUUCGAGUUUGAAUAACCAGCCUUGACCGAAACAGUAGUAUAGUCGUACUAAUAAUACUCAUGAAUAGAACGUAUGGAAGUUUAACGGAAGUCGUUGUUGUAGAGCUUA
rnacentral:rRNA from 1 species